AUCCAAGUACUCCAAAAAUCUGGAAUAGGACAUCCUGGAGGAAGAAACUCCUUGGUCAUCAGCGUAUGCCUUCCCACUUCCCAGUAAAGUGGGUGCAAUGAGUCCUGCAUUCCCAAGCAACUGCUUUAGAAAGCCUCUUCUUCCUUCGUUCUUUAGAAAACCUCUUCCUCCCUGCUGAUGCCUCUGGUCUAAAGAUGCUUUUAUGAGAAUUGCUUUUGAUGUCUUUCCUAAUAACUGAAAUCUUGAAGGA
rnacentral:misc_RNA from 1 species